GUGGGGAAUCUUGCGCAAUGGACGAAAGCCUGACGCAGCCAUGCCGCGUGGAUGAUGAAGGUCUUAGGAUUGUAAAAUCCUUUCACCGGUGAAGAUAAUGACUGUAGCCGGAGAAGAAGCCCCGGCUAACUUCGUGCCAGCAGCCGCGGUAAUACGAAGGGGGCUAGCGUUGCUCGGAUUUACUGGGCGUAAAGGGCGCGUAGGCGGACAUUUAAGUCAGGGGUGAAAUCCCGGGGCUCAACCUCGGAACUGCCUUUGAUACUGGGUGUCUUGAGUAUGAGAGAGGUGUGUGGAACUCCGAGUGUAGAGGUGAAAUUCGUAGAUAUUCGGAAGAACACCAGUGGCGAAGGCGACACACUGGCUCAUUACUGACGCUGAGGCGCGAAAGCGUGGGGAGCAAACAGGAUUAGAAACCCUAGUAGUCC
rnacentral:rRNA from 1 species